UGGGGAAUAUUGCGCAAUGGGCGAAAGCCUGACGCAGCGACGCCGCGUGAGGGAUGAAGGUUUUCGGAUCGUAAACCUCUGUCGGAAGGGAAGAAGUUGCAUCGUGCUAAUCAGCGGUGCAUUGACGGUACCUUCAAAGGAAGCACCGGCUAACUCCGUGCCAGCAGCCGCGGUAAUACGGAGGGUGCGAGCGUUAAUCGGAAUUACUGGGCGUAAAGGGCGCGUAGGCUGUAUUGUAAGUCAGGGGUGAAAUCCCACGGCUCAACCGUGGAACCGCCCUUGAUACUGCAAAACUAGAAUCCGGGAGAGGGCGGCGGAAUUCCAGGUGUAGGAGUGAAAUCCGUAGAUAUCUGGAGGAACAUCAGUGGCGAAGGCGGCCGCCUGGACCGGUAUUGACGCU
rnacentral:rRNA from 1 species